GAACAAUUUCAAGCAGAGCUUUUCAGCAGAGGGAUAUACAGGGAUUUUGCCAAGGUUUACAGAGUCUCAGAUCGGAGCUUAUCAGAGGACAGCUGCUAAACAACGCACAAAGCCACCACUGCUGAAGUUAAAAGAUAUCACCUAGGAAAUGUUUGAAAAAAGGCAUAGUCCCUGCUGCAAGAAAAGACCAGAUAGCACAGGAGUGUGCAGAAAUUCAUCUUAAAAGUGGUAAAGAAUGCUGUAAACUGAUGACCUGUUUUUCCUGUAAAUAGAAGUCACGUGUAAUUACAGGUGAUAAGAUUGUUCUACCUGAUGACGUGUGGUACAGAAACACAUGGACAGGAUCUGUGUGAAGAGUUGAAAGAGUAUCAUCAGGCCCUCUGGCCUGUCUUCUCAACAGUGUGGAGCUUGUUGAGUGAAGACAUCAUGCAUUUAAAUUUGAAAAGCUAUUUCCUCUCUUUAGAAACUAUUUUUGUGUGUUUUAUGUUUCUUUGGUGUUGUUCCAGAUGCACACAAUAUAAUAUUCAUGGUACUGAUUUACUGUCCCCACCACAGACUGUAGAGCACAGGAGAGAUGCAAAGAAAGGGAGGGUCUGCAGUAAAUUGCAAGUAAUUUAUCAACAAGUGCAUCAUCUGCGGACACUGGAUUAAUCAUUAAAAUCAAAGAAAUAGCAUUAAAAAACAUAUAUAUUUUUUGGUAGGAGGACAACCUUGAAUUUAGAAAAAAAUUAUUUUUAGUUUUUUGGUGUUGCAAAUAGUUGCAAGAAUGGAAGGAAAAUGUUCUGCCAUACAUUGUAAAUGCCAAGGACUUACAUAAGUUAUCUUCCUUUAUUUAAGACUUGGAAAAUUCCAUUACCUUGUCACCUUGGGUAUCCAACUGCUCAUAUUGUUUCAUGUCUUCUUAAGUCAACAGGAAAAACAAAAACAAAACCAAAACCAGAAAUCCCUCUAUCAGGAAGCAGAUGGUACUUUUUCAGUAAGUCUGUUAUGGAGCAGAUUUGUUAACCGCUGCCAGGCUAGAGGCAGCUAGUUUCUGGUAUAUCUGUACAGGAGCACGUCACUGAGCACAUUAGGUUUGGUGUGAAACACAGCAAAUGUUGCAUUGAUCAGAAACACGGUACUUGACAUAGCAAGGGCUCCAAGCAGAAACACCUGGAAACUCAUAAUGUCAUACAUCAGAGUCUCUACUAUUGAAUUUCAGAUGACCAGAUGCAAACACAAGCAAAUUAUUCUGAUUCUCAUCCUCUAAUACACUGCCAAUACAAAAGGCUUGAAUGAUUUGGAUGCUAAGCUAUACACAUGUUCAACCUCUGCCACGAGGAGUAGAAUGGGAUUCAGUUUUCAUGAGAGCCCUUUUUAGAUUAUAUUUACCAAGGCAUGAAAAAGUCUGCCCAAUAUUAGAGAGGGCUGGUUUUGAGGUCAUUUCCAUAGCUAUGUAUUUGGGAAGGUGGAUAACAUUCAUAAAUUAACACAGAACUUUCAACAGAGCUUUCUCCAUGUCCAUCUGUUGACAGUGUGAUACCAUUACUUAAGGUCUGUGCUAUCUUUCAGUCCUGAAUUGAAAAAAAACUUGUUUUCUAUGUUACUUUAAAAAUGUGUAUGUAUUUUAUUCCUUCAGUGAAUUUAGAACUUAAUACACAAUAACAUUAAAUUCCAAAACAUAUUUACUAGAUGAACAAGUACUUUUGUCACAUGCAGUUGUAUAUUUUGCUGGGAAAUUUAAUAAAGGUUUAAC
rnacentral:lncRNA from 7 species